ACUCCUACGGGAGGCAGCAGUGGGGAAUAUUGCACAAUGGGGGAAACCCUGAUGCAGCCAUGCCGCGUGUGUGAAGAAGGCCUUCGGUUGUAAAGCACUUUCAGUAGGGAGGAAGGUAGUGUAGUUAACACCUGCAUUAUUUGACGUUACCUACAGAAGAAGCACCGGCUAACUCCGUGCCAGCAGCCGCGGUAAUACGGAGGGGUGCGAGCGUUAAUCGGAAUUACUGGGCGUAAAGCGCAUGCAGGCGGCCUGUUAAGUCAGAUGUGAAAGCCCGGGGGCUUAACCUCGGAAUUGCAUUUGAAACUGGCAGGCUAGAGUCUUGUAGAGGGGGUAGAAUUUCAGGUGUAGCGGUGAAAUGCGUAGAGAUCUGAAGGAAUACCAGUGGCGAAGGCGGCCCCCUGGACAAAGACUGACGCUCAGAUGCGAAAGCGUGGGGAGCGAAACAGGAUUAGAUACCCUGGUAGCACAGAG
rnacentral:rRNA from 1 species